AAGACAAGAUUGUGCCAACAAAACCUUGGAAGAACAAGAACCUAAUUAAGUACAUAAUUUGUCUCUAUUAUGAAACCGCGAAGAACCGAGUAUGCUUCACCUUUGCAGCAACACAUGAGCAAUUGCCCCUGUAGAAUAUUAUGUAGAUUGAAGCCUAAGGUUUUUAUUUUCUUCACAUCAUUUAUCGCUGCUCCUUGAAGUUGCAGUUGCCAC
rnacentral:misc_RNA from 1 species